rnacentral:rRNA from 1 species
UCAACGAUGGGUAGCUGGUGUGGAAGGAGGAUCAGCCACACUAGAGGUGGGACGCGCCCCAUACUCCUACGACAGGCAGCAGAGUGGAAUCUGAGGCAACACGGGAAAGGUGUCGCAACAACCCCAAGCGAGGGAAGGCGGCCCUAGGGUUGUAAACCUGUCUCAGAUGGGAUGAAGCUUCGACGGUGAAUAAGAGAUCGGAUUGACGGUACCGUCAGAAGAAAGCUCCGGCUAAUUACGUGCCAGCAGCCGGGGUUAAUACUAGGGGAGCGAGCGUUUUCCGGCAUCAUGGGGCGUAAAGAGCAGUUAGCUGGAUUAAUCAUUCUGUCGUGAAAGUCAAGGGCUCACCCGUUGAAGGCCGGGGGAUCGUGCUGAUCUUGAGUAGCGAAGAGGCGAGUGGAAUUCCUGGUGUAGCGGGAAAAUGCGCAAAUAUCGGGAGGAACAUCAAUAGGAAGGGCAGCUUGCGGGGAGGUUCCGGCCAUGGAGGUGGAAAAGCGGGGGGAGCAACCAGGAUUAGUUACCCUGGUAUCCCAGCCCUUAAACGAUGGCUCUUAGUUGUGGGAGCUGUCGACUCUUUCCGCAUCGCAGCUAACGCACUAAGUACCCCGCCUGGGGAGUACGGA